CGACUACUCCCUCCGUCCGAAAAAGCUUGUCCCUCAAAUGGAUGUAUCUAGUGCUAGAUACAUCCAUUUGAAGGACAAGGUUGGGACAAGUUUUUUCAGAGGGAGGGAGUAUGUG
rfam:Triticum aestivum genome assembly, contig: Triticum_aestivum_CS42_TGACv1_scaffold_342596_4DL